CAGUAGCCGCGGGAAUACGUAGGUGGCAAGCGUUGUCCGGAAUUAUUGGGCGUAAAGGGCUCGCAGGCGGUUUCUUAAGUCUGAUGUGAAAUCCCCGGGCUCAACCUGGGAAUGGCAGUGGAUACUGGCAAGCUAGAGUGUGUCAGAGGAUGGUGGAAUUCCCGGUGUAGCGGUGAAAUGCGUAGAGAUCGGGAGGAACAUCAGUGGCGAAGGCGGCCAUCUGGGACAACACUGACGCUGAGGCACGAAAGCGUGGGGAGCAAACAGGAUUAGAUACCCCGGUAGUCCCUGUCUCUUAUAC
rnacentral:rRNA from 1 species